rnacentral:rRNA from 1 species
CUACACAUGCAAGUCGAACGGUAACAGGAAGCAGCUUGCUGCUUUGCUGACGAGUGGCGGACGGGUGAGUAAUGUCUGGGAAACUGCCUGAUGGAGGGGGAUAACUACUGGAAACGGUAGCUAAUACCGCAUAACGUCGCAAGACCAAAGAGGGGGACCUUCGGGCCUCUUGCCAUCGGAUGUGCCCAGAUGGGAUUAGCUAGUAGGUGGGGUAACGGCUCACCUAGGCGACGAUCCCUAGCUGGUCUGAGAGGAUGACCAGCCACACUGGAACUGAGACACGGUCCAGACUCCUACGGGAGGCAGCAGUGGGGAAUAUUGCACAAUGGGCGCAAGCCUGAUGCAGCCAUGCCGCGUGUAUGAAGAAGGCCUUCGGGUUGUAAAGUACUUUCAGCGGGGAGGAAGGUGUUGAGGUUAAUAACCUCAGCAAUUGACGUUACCCGCAGAAGAAGCACCGGCUAACUCCGUGCCAGCAGCCGCGGUAAUACGGAGGGUGCAAGCGUUAAUCGGAAUUACUGGGCGUAAAGCGCACGCAGGCGGUCUGUCAAGUCGGAUGUGAAAUCCCCGGGCUCAACCUGGGAACUGCAUUCGAAACUGGCAGGCUAGAGUCUUGUAGAGGGGGGUAGAAUUCCAGGUGUAGCGGUGAAAUGCGUAGAGAUCUGGAGGAA